GUGGGGAAUAUUGGACAAUGGGCGAAAGCCUGAUCCAGCCAUGCCGCGUGUGUGAAGAAGGUCUUCGGAUUGUAAAGCACUUUAAGUUGGGAGGAAGGGCAGUAAGUUAAUACCUUGCUGUUUUGACGUUACCGACAGAAUAAGCACCGGCUAACUACGUGCCAGCAGCCGCGGUAAUACGAAGGGUGCAAGCGUUAAUCGGAAUUACUGGGCGUAAAGCGCGCGUAGGUGGUUUUGUAAGUUGGAGGUGAAAUCCCCGGGCUCAACCUGGGAACUGCCUCCAAAACUGCAUGACUAGAGUACGGUAGAGGGUAGUGGAAUUUCCUGUGUAGCGGUGAAAUGCGUAGAUAUAGGAAGGAACACCAGUGGCGAAGGCGACUACCUGGACUGAUACUGACACUGAGGUGCGAAAGCGUGGGGAGCAAACAGGAUUAGAAACCCGAGUAGUCC
rnacentral:rRNA from 1 species